UACAGAGGGUGCAAGCGUUAAUCGGAUUUAUUGGGCGUAAAGCGCACGUAGGUGGAUAUUUAAGUCGGAUGUGAAAUCCCCGGGCUUAACCUGGGAACUGCAUUUGUGACUGCAUUGCUGGAGUGCGGCAGAGGGGGAUGGAAUUCCGCGUGUAGCAGUGAAAUGCGUAGAUAUGCGGAGGAACACCGAUGGCGAAGGCAAUCCCCUGGGCCUGCACUGACGCUCAUGCACGGAAGCGUGGGGAGCAAACAGG
rnacentral:rRNA from 1 species